GUAGUUAUUCACUUGGGCGUGGGGAGUGGCUGCGGAAAUGAUGUAUGUGAGGGCAUUUGGUGACUAGUGAACUUGAGGGUCGCGACUUUCUUGUGCCUCAGAAUCACCCGGAGGGCUGUUGAAGCUGGACACGCCCCCGGAUAUAAGGCUGGGCUGGAAUUCGCGUCUCUAACAGAACAACGUUCUCUGCCUGCUUCCCAGGCCGUAUCGUGGCUCACGGCUGCCCUCAGCGGCCUGCUUUCUGUCCUUCCAAGGAGUGUCGCUGGUGGAAUCAGCACCCUGCCCAGAGGCCUUCCGGAAGCGCUGGUCACCACGGAAACAACGUGCUCCUGACCUGGAAUGUGCCUGUUUCCCCCAUCUCCACCUGGAGCUUCAGUGCUGUGCCCCAGGACCCAUUCAGAUAUCAGUGAGCCUUCGCUGUGGGCACAGCGCUCUCCCAGGUUCCCGGAACACAGAAACGAAUGACUAGGUGGGGGUGAGGUCCUUGCCCUCAGGCCUGUCUAAACCAGUGAACUUCACCUCUUGGUGAUUUACCUGAACCUACUGAGAUCUGCUGGGCCCAGUCCCCUGCCAGGACAAUGGACCCUUUUUCAACACCAACCCUGGCGAUGUCCGAGGACAGGCGUUAAUAAGCAUGCAGGUUGUGUGUCCCUGGAGGCUGGCCUUGAGGGCAUGAUGCACCUCUCACAGGUUCUGGGGGAUAGGAAGGGAAGGGUAUUGUCCCUGAGAUGGUGAGCGUGUGGGGACCACGGGCAAGCAAGGACCACGGACCCUUGCUUGAGGACUGGUGACCCCUAACACCCCUCACCUGAUCUGCUCAUCUGACUCCUAUUGGUGUUGCUGAGAGCUUGGCUGCGAACAUGCCAGGUCUUGGGAAAGUUACUCAGUGUUCCCAAGCAGCAGUGUCCCCAUCCAUAAAUGGGGUCUGUAACAGUGUCAGGAAGCUUCACAGAGAGAUAAUGUGGGAGAGUGCUCCGUAAGUCCACGUGGCACAUCCAGGAAGGUGAGCUCUUCCGGAAAUCCUGGCCCACAGACUGGGCCAGGUGCCACCUUGGACUCCCACAGCCCUGGGAGCCCUCCAGGAGGGCAAUGGUCAGAUGCACAGCUGCUCUGUUUAUGUGCUGGUUUCUCCCUGGACCCUGAGUGCCUGAUAAUGGAGACAGUCUUUUUUCUCUGUCCCUGUGUGUCUGGCACAUGAUCUGGCCAGAGCAGGUGGUGCUUUGAUCACCGCGUAACCACAGUGACCAGAUCCAGGUCCUGGAUCUUAUUGCUGGGCCUUCCUCUUGGUGGUCGCAUGCCCACCCUCGUGCUUCGUGGGGCCACAGGGAGAUUCCUUUGUCUCCCAACCCCAUCCCGUUUGUCCAGGCCUAUG